AGCGCAUGCCUACGGGAGCAGCAGUGGGGAAUAUUGCACAAUGGGCGAAAGCCUGAUGCAGCAACGCCGCGUGAAGGAAGAAGGGUUUCGGCUCGUAAACUUCUAUCAACAGGGACGAAAGAAAUGACGGUACCUGAAUAAGAAGCCCCGGCUAACUACGUGCC
rnacentral:rRNA from 1 species